GCAGUCGCCGCGGUAAUACGGAGGGUGCAAGCGUUAUCCGGAUUUAUUGGGUUUAAAGGGUCCGUAGGCGGACUUAUAAGUCAGUGGUGAAAGCCUGUCGCUUAACGAUAGAACUGCCAUUGAUACUGUAAGUCUUGAGUAUAUUUGAGGUAGCUGGAAUAAGUAGUGUAGCGGUGAAAUGCAUAGAUAUUACUUAGAACACCAAUUGCGAAGGCAGGUUACCAAGAUAUAACUGACGCUGAGGGACGAAAGCGUGGGUAGCGAACAGGAUUAGAUACCCCCGUAGUCCCUGUCUCUUAUAC
rnacentral:rRNA from 1 species